GAUGAACGCUGGCGGCGUGCCUAAUACAUGCAAGUCGAGCGAACAGACGAGGAGCUUGCUCCUCUGACGUUAGCGGCGGACGGGUGAGUAACACGUGGAUAACCUACCUAUAAGACUGGGAUAACUUCGGGAAACCGGAUCUAAUACCGGAUAAUAUAUUGAACCGCAUGGUUCAAUAGUGAAAGACGGUUUUGCUGUCACUUAUAGCUGGAUCCGCGCCGCAUUAGCUAGUUGGUAAGGUAACGGGUUACCAAGGCAACGAUGCGUAGCCGACCGGAGAGGGUGAUCGGCCACACUGGAACUGGGACACGGUCAAGACUCCUACGGGAGGCAGCAGUAGGGAACCUGCCGCAAUGGGCGAAAGCCUGACGGAGCAACGCCGCGUGAGUGAUGAAGGUCUUGGGAUCGUAAAACUCUGUUAUUAGGGAAGAACAAAUGUGUAAGUAACUAUGCACGUCUUGACGGUACCUGAUCAGAAAGCCACGGCUAACUACGUA
rnacentral:rRNA from 1 species